rnacentral:rRNA from 1 species
AGCAGUCGCGGUAAUUCCAGCUCCAAUAGCGUAUAUUAAAGUUGUUGCAGUUAAAAAGCUCGUAGUUGAAUUUCGGGAUUGACACAUCGGUCGUGCCUUAAGGGGUAUGAACUGGUGUAGUCAAUUUCUCACCUUCUGGAGAACCGCGAUGCCCUUAAUUGGGUGUCACGGGGAACCAGGACCUUUACUUUGAAAAAAUUAGAGUGUUUAAAGCAGGCAUUUUGCUUGAAUACAUUAGCAUGGAAUAAUAAAAUAGGACGGCAUGAUUCUAUUUUGUUGGUUUCUAGGAUCACCGUAAUGAUUAAUAGGGAUAGUUGGGGGCAUUAGUAUUCAAUUGUCAGAGGUGAAAUUCUUGGAUUUAUUGAAGACUAACUACUGCGAAAGCAUUUGCCAAGGAUGUUUUCAUUAAUCAAGAACGAAAGUUAGGGGAUCGAAGACGAUCAGAUACCG